UACGGAGGGUGCAAGCGUUGUCCGGAUUUCUUGGGUUUAAAGGGUGCGUAGGCGGCCUUGUAAGUCAGUGGUGAAAGCCUCCAGCUCAACUGGAGAACUGCCAUUGAUACUGCAAGGCUUGAGUACAGACGAGGUUGGCGGAAUUGAUUGUGUAGCGGUGAAAUGCAUAGAUACAAUCAAGAACUCCGAUUGCGUAGGCAGCUAACUAGGCUGUAACUGACGCUGAGGCACGAAAGCGUGGGGAGCGAACAGG
rnacentral:rRNA from 1 species